AGUGAACGCUGGCGGUAGGCCUAACACAUGCAAGUCGAACGGCAGCACAGUAAGAGCUUGCUCUUACGGGUGGCGAGUGGCGGACGGGUGAGGAAUACAUCGGAAUCUACUUUUUCGUGGGGGAUAACGUAGGGAAACUUACGCUAAUACCGCAUACGACCUACGGGUGAAAGCAGGGGAUCUUCGGACCUUGCGCGAUUGAAUGAGCCGAUGUCGGAUUAGCUAGUUGGCGGGGUAAAGGCCCACCAAGGCGACGAUCCGUAGCUGGUCUGAGAGGAUGAUCAGCCACACUGAAACUGAGACACGGUCCAGACUCCAACGGAGGCAGCAGUGGGGAAUAUUGGACAAUGGGCGCAAGCCUGAUCCAGCCAUACCGCGUGGGUGAAGAAGGCCUUCGGGUUGUAAAGCCCUUUUGUUGGGAAAGAAAAGCAGCAGGUUAAUACCCCGCUGUUCUGACGGUACCCAAAGAAUAAGCACCGGCUAACUUCGUG
rnacentral:rRNA from 1 species